rnacentral:lncRNA from 1 species
UGACGUACAUAGGAAUGUCAGCUUUUAUUCAAACAGGUGACAAAAAGGCAACAGUUGCAAGCUGUUACAGACAAUUCAUUCCAUGUGUUAGCCAUCUCUUCCUCACACAUAUGUAAGACUGGAACACCCAUACAUUUCCUUAAUGGACUGCAUUAACAGAACCCAGUAUAAAAUCAUAAUCUCUAGAGCCAAUGAUAUCAGGUCAAAUUCAAAAUCACUUCACACUGGGCACAGACGUCAAUGCAACGUCGAUUCCACGGUGGUUCAACGUAAUUUUACUAAAAUGAUGUGGAAACAACGUUGAUUCAACCAGUGUGCGCCCAGUGGGUUGAAUGUACCAACCUUUGCAAACGUUGUGCAAAACAGACAUUGUACCUUUUCCUCAUUGAGCAGCACUACCACCAUGUCAGCUGAACAUUACACAAAUAAAUAUGCACAACAUGAUUAAAUCAUAAAUAGAAAAUAAAUAUGUCUUUAUGACUGCAUUUAGAUAGGCACCCCGAUUCUGACAUUUUUUUCACUAAAAUGGUAUUUUAACCAAUCAGAUCUGAAAUAGAUCUAAUGUGAAAAGAUCUGAAGUGAUUGGUCAAAAGACCAAUUUGUGGAAAAAAUAUCCGAAUUGGGCUGCCUGUGUAAGCGCAGCCAUAGAAGCCUUUCUGGAGAUCCAUCACUUCCUCUGUUGUCAUUUAGUUCUGAAUGAUUACCAAAGCAUACCACCAGGAUAAUCUGAGAUGCAAAAAUCAUUAUGGUAACAUAUAGAAAUCUGAAUUUCAAAGUAGCAAUCUUGCAAUCUUGGCCUUUCAAUCACUGUUAAUUAGGAUGAAUACUGAAUGCAACUAUUGUCCUCUCAAGGUUCCUAUUAACUAAAGGUUCCUAUCAAAUAAGGAAACAAUAGCAAGUCUGUCACACAUUGUGAACACAAAAACAUGUCAAUCAUCAUUUCAGUAUUAAAAGGUAAAAAGACCAAACAUAGAUAUAAAACUUCAACAAAAUAAAACAGAGGACCAACAGUGAUAUUUUGGUCUUUCAACAAAGCAAACAGCACAACAAACCUGGCAACACAACUCUCAAGCUUCUACAGUGAAGACGGGCCAAAAAGACCACGGCCAUCUGCAGGCAGACACAAAAUAAGAGCAUUUGGCUUCAUUGGAACAAUCAAUUCAGAAUCAUUAAUAAUACUAAAGUAACAUGGACUCAAUGUAAACAUUCAAGAGAUAAAAGAAAACAUGAAUAGAAUGUUGCAGUUCUUCCACAGCCUCUUCUCUGGGUUGAAGGAGAGUAUCUAUCCGAUGGCUGCUGCCAAUGAGGUUUAGCUAAAAUCACAUACCUUCCAUGGUGUCCAAUUCCUUCUCUCCUGUCAUCUGUUGUCUGGCAUGUUCACACCUCUGAAUGAUUUAUUCUGGAAAGGACAAAAGUGCAAUAUUUCAG